UACGAAGGGGACUAGCGUUGUUCGGAAUUACUGGGCGCAAAGCGCACGUAGGCGGAUUUGUAAGUCAGGGGUGAAAUCCCGGGGCUCAACCUCGGAACUGCCUUUGAUACUGCAAAUCUCGAGUCCGAUAGAGGUGGGUGGAAUUCCUAGUGUAGAGGUGAAAUUCGUAGAUAUUAGGAAGAACACCGGUGGCGAAGGCGGCCCACUGGAUCGGUACUGACGCUGAGGUGCGAAAGCGUGGGGAGCAAACAGG
rnacentral:rRNA from 1 species